CCUUUGGGUUUCCUUUGGGGUUUCCUUAUUUUAUUAUAUGUAUAUAUUAUUAUGCUCGGACCGGUUAUCUUCGCAGCCGGAUUUUGAGUCUUGAUAUUCCCGUUUUUGACACUCUUUAUAUAUAUGAUCUUGCGUUAGCUUAUCCUUUGCUCGUUACGUUAUCGAUCGGAGUGUUGCGCGUUUGAGUUACGGUUUUUGUUUACCCCUUUUUCUUCAAAGGCUCCUAGUUAUAAUCAAUCAUUCAUACUACUAUACGUAC
rnacentral:lncRNA from 1 species